GCACACUCAACCUCGGCUGUGGGAAUGGGAGUCCUUCACCGCCGGCGGCACCGCCGGCCACGUUUAAUUUGUCGGACCCUUGUACCUUGACUUGGUGCGGUGAUGGGAGCUGUAAAACAAACGAGAGUGGCUAUGAAUGCAACUGUAACGAUGGCUCUGAUAAUCUGCUCGAUAUGCCCGCCUUACCCUGCUUCAAUGAAUGUGCUUUAGGA